rnacentral:rRNA from 1 species
AUGACAUACCAGUGCAGCCCGACGGCCGUGAACAAAGCAUCCUCAACCUCACGCACUAACAGCUUAGAUGUUGAGGAGCGCCUUGGCAGAGUCAAGUGUGGACAAUUAUCUAGGAAGCAAGUGAAUGGAAGUUCAAGUCACCAUACAGCAGGAUCCAUUGGAAUGCCAUUACGGGCCCCUUUUCAAGAUAUUACAAAUGUGGUUGACUCACAUAGUUUAUCAAAAGGGAAACAAGCACAAAAAAUUCUUGGUUCAGUGGAUCAUCCAAUUACUGGGACAAAACGAUCAAUCAAUCUAUCUGGCAUAUCCAUACAGUCAAAUACUCCUUCAACUGGACACGUAAGUCUACCAACAAAUGCUUCCGAGCGUAAGCGUUAUCGUGAUCGGGAAAGAUACUUGGAGAUGACUCCAGAAUAG